UAGCCUUGACAUACUACAGAAUUUGACAGAGAUGUUGAAGUGCCUUCGGGAGCUGUAAUACAGGUGCUGCACGGCUGUCGUCAGCUCGUGUCGUGAGAUGUUGGGUUAAGUCCCGCAACGAGCGCAACCCUUGCCUCUAGUUACCAGCGAGUAAUGUCGGGGACUCUAGAGGGACUGCCGGUGAUAAACUGGAGGAAGGUGGGGAUGACGUCAAGUCCUCAUGGCCCUUACAUCCCGGGCUACACACGUGCUACAAUGGCCGGUACAACGAGUCGCAAUACCGCGAGGUGGAGCUAAUCUCUUAAAACCGGUCUCAGUUCGGAUUGCAGUCUGCAACUCGACUGCAUGAAGCCGGAAUCGCUAGUAAUCGCGGAUCAGCACGCCGUGGUGAAUACGUUCCCGGGCCU
rnacentral:rRNA from 1 species